GCCGAAGUGGCGGAACUGGUAGACGCGCUACGUUCAGGGCGUAGUGCCCGUAAGGGCGUGUGGGUUCAAAUCCCACCUUCGGCACCA
rnacentral:tRNA from 1 species